GUCCUAUUCUGUAAAGGCCACGCAGGUUCCAGGCGUUCUGUGUUCCGCAAGACCUUUGGCCAACCCUACCUCGUCGGUGGGCUGCCCAGUCCUUGAGACUCGUGAGUGCUUUGCCAUUCUCUUCCUGAAGAUUUUUUUUUUUUCCUGAGAGCUGACAGAAUGAGACUUGCCCCCAGGUCGGUACCGAAUGCCUGGGUGAACAGUGAAAAUAUUCUUCUGCCCUCGAGAAAAUGACAACAAAACAAAACAAAACAAAAACUAGGAAAUGAACAACAGCUAAAUGACUCGAACCUUUGACGACCAUGUUCAUCACCAUCAAGGCGAGAACAUGGCAGCAUCCAGGUGGGCAUGGUGCAAGAGGAGCUGAAAGUUCUACAUCUUCAUUUGAAGGCUGCUAGCAGAAUACUGGCUUCCAGGAAGCUAGGAUGAGAAAGCCCACACUCACAGUGACACAUCUCCUCCAACAAGGUCACGCCUACUCCAACAGAGCCACAGCCAGCUCCCUGGGCCAAGCAUAGCCAAACCAUAACAUGAGCUUUGCACAGCAGUACCACUAAAGACUGGUGGAUUCUAUGGAGCAUCUGUACAAGAAAUUGAUAAGAAAAUGUUACCUUCAGCCAAACCAUAACAUGAGCUUUGCACAGCAGUACCACUAAAGACUGGUGGAUUCUAUGGAGCAUCUGUACAAGAAAUUGAUAAGAAAAUGUUACCUUCAGAGCUUUCCUAUCCCUUCUGCAGGGGGCUUACAGCUAAUUUGAGGGGAUAGGGUUCCCAGGAUUCUGUGUGUCAUUUGCCACUUGCGAUCAUUUCCCAUGUAUAUGGCAUGCCUGUUCAUAGACUUGUUAUACCUUGUGCCUACUCCUGACUGGUGAACUUUGAAUAGAAUGUGAAUAAGAUAUCUAUCCAUCUGAGUCCUAGCUAUAACACUGAAAUUGUAUCUUUCUCGAAGUUGCUCAAAGAUUCAGUGUUAGGUUGUAUUUUUCCCAAUGUAAAGUACAGAAGGAGUGAGCAGAGGAUUCAGAUAUGGAUCUGAUUGGUUUGAAAGUAUCGAAUAACUGUUGCACACAGUUUACGCUGGCUAGUUUUCUAUGAAUUUGACACAAGGUAGAGGCAUUUGAGAAGAGGGAACCUCAAUUGAGAAAAUGCUCCUAUCAUAGGUCAAGCACGUGGAGCAUUUUUGUUUGUUUGUUUGGUUUUGUUUUUCCAAGUCAGGGUUUCUCUGUGUAGCCCUGACUGUCCUGGAACUUGUUCUGUAGACCAGGCUGGCCUCAAACUCACAAAGAUCUGCUUGCCUCUGACUUCUAAGUGCUGGACCUAAAGGCCACCACCUCGCUCCUGCAUUUUCUUGAUUAAUGAUGGAUGGGCAAGCAUCCAGCACAUUGAAGGUAGUGCCACCCAUGGGCUAGUGGUCCUGGAGAGCAUAAGAAAUCAGGUUGAGCAAGCCACAUGAGCAAGCCAGUAAGCAGCACCCCUCCAUGGCCUUUGCUUCAGCUCCUCCCUCCAGGUUCCUGCCUUUAAUUUCUGCCCUGACUUCCCUAGAUGAAGGAUUAUAAACUGUAAAAUGCAAUAAACCUUUUCCUCCCCAAA
rnacentral:lncRNA from 1 species